rnacentral:pre_miRNA from 15 species
CAUGUCUAAGUUCCACUCUGUUCCACGUCUACCCUGUAGAUCCGAAUUUGUUGUACCAUAGCUUUAAGGACAAAUUCGGUUCUAGAGAGGUUUAUGUGGCUCAUUGUCCAGCGAAUCGAAUGU